rnacentral:rRNA from 1 species
UCAGGAUGAACGCUGGCGGCGUGCCUAACACAUGCAAGUCGAGCGAUUCUCUUCGGAGAAGAGCGGCGGACGGGUGAGUAACGCGUGGGUAACCUACCUCAUACACAUGGAUAACAUACCGAAAGGUAUGCUAAUACAGGAUAAUAUAAGAGAUUCACAUGGAUUUCUUAUCAAAGCUCCGGCGGUAUGAGAUGGACCCGCGUCUGAUUAGCUAGUUGGUAAGGUAACGGCUUACCAAGGCGACGAUCAGUAGCCGACCUGAGAGGGUGAUCGGCCACAUUGGAACUGAGACACGGUCCAAACUCCUACGGGAGGCAGCAGUGGGGAAUAUUGCACAAUGGGCGAAAGCCUGAUGCAAGCAACGCCGCGUGAGUGAUGAAGGCCUUCGGGUCGUAAAACUCUGUCCUCAAGGAAGAUAAUGACGGUACUUGAGGAGGAAGCCCCGGCUAACUACGUGCCAGCAGCAGC